rnacentral:rRNA from 2 species
UGGGGAAUAUUGGACAAUGGGCGCAAGCCUGAUCCAGCCAUGCCGCGUGAGUGAUGAAGGCCCUAGGGUUGUAAAGCUCUUUUGUGCGGGAAGAUAAUGACGGUACCGCAAGAAUAAGCCCCGGCUAACUUCGUGCCAGCAGCCGCGGUAAUACGAAGGGGGCUAGCGUUGCUCGGAAUCACUGGGCGUAAAGGGUGCGUAGGCGGGUCUUUAAGUCAGAGGUGAAAGCCUGGAGCUCAACUCCAGAACUGCCUUUGAUACUGAGGAUCUUGAGUUCGGGAGAGGUGAGUGGAACUGCGAGUGUAGAGGUGAAAUUCGUAGAUAUUCGCAAGAACACCAGUGGCGAAGGCGGCUCACUGGCCCGAUACUGACGCUGAGGCACGAAAGCGUGGGGAGCAAACAGG